rnacentral:misc_RNA from 1 species
UUAGCAAUUCCGCCAAGUACACGGAUGAGGCCGGUCGCAUUUGGCUGACAGUUGAGCGUGACGGGGAAAGAGUUCUUAUUCGAGUACGCGAUACGGGCAUCGGGAUUUCCCCGGAACUUCUGCCGCGCGUCUUCGACCUGUUCAGCCAGGCGGAACAAUCGCUGGACCGCUCAGAAGGCGGACUGGGCAUCGGCCUGGCACUGGUGCGACGAUUCACCGAACUGCACGGAGGAAGAGUCGAGGCAUUCAGUACUUUGGGCAAGGGGAGCGAAUUCGUCGUGCAGUUGCCGAUAGCGCCCGACCUACGGCAGCCGGCGUCGCCGGUCUCGGAGGCGCCGCAAGCGGCUAAACCUCACCUGAAGGUGCUGGUCGUGGAUGACAAUGAAGAUACGGUUCUGACGUUUUCCUUAUUGCUGAGCGCAUCGGGGCAUGACGUUCGUACGGCUCGGGACGGGGAGGCGGCACUGCGGGAGGCCCUCGAUUAUCGGCCGGAUGUGGUGUUGAUGGACAUCGGACUGCCGGGGCUGAAUGGAUACAACGUCGCGGAACGGAUUCGAUGGAACCCACGCUGAAGAACGUCGUGCUGAUUGCUCUGACGGGCUAUGGUCGGGAAUCCGAUCGGCGCGCAACGCAGCAAGCGGGAUUCAAUUAUCAUCUGGUGAAACCCGCGGAUUUCGAAAAGCUGGAGCAGAUCCUGGCGACGGUUGCGCCGGGAGGUGUUUGAGUUUGAAAAUGUCGCAGGCGAGCGAUUGGCCCUCCUGGCCAGGAGGGCUGGCUGCGACCAAAGAAAUAUCGCGAAGCAACCCUGGCGGAGCAGACUGGGUGGUGGGUUAACUACAAUCAAAGAAUUCUUUUGAACUUGAACCACCACCCGCCUCGCUAAGAGGAGCUUCGCAAUGUCGCUUGAAAUCGCUCGGUCCGCCCUCCUGGCCAGGAGGGCCCAUCGCUUGCCUGCAACAUUUUCAGAACUGAGACACCACUAACCUCAGUCCUUCUUUUUCUUUUCGUCGUCUUUUUCUCGUCCGAACUUUGGCUCCUUGGAAGAGCCGGUGAUCUGGAUACGCACGAACGUUCCGGCCCCGUUUUUCGAGAAGAAGGGAUCAAUCGGCUUGGCAAGCCAGCGUUUCCAGCCGGUGAGGGUUUGCGAGAUCUUCGCGUCGAGCUUGAGAGUGCCGUGAAAGUCGAUAACGUCCUGGUCGAUGUUGUAGUUCCCGUUUAGAUCGACUCCAGAGCCUGGAACGGCGGAACGAAAGGUUCGUGAACGUAAUCGUUUGGUCUUCCAUCUUGAAGGCGCCGGCCAUGUUCAUGACGACUUCGUCGAUCUCCAUGUUUUUGGGCUGGCCUUGCGCACGCCGGCUUAGCUCAUCGAUCUUGUCCUGAAUCUUCGAUUUCAGAAAAUGUCCCUGCGUAAUUUCGAAAUGCCAAUCGAGCAGGAGUUUUUCCUUUACCUUGCCGCUGAGCGGAGGAAUAUCGAUUUUCGUUUUGAGCGCGAUCUGGCCCGCCAUAAAAGGUUCGCCCUUCAUGGCAAGCGUGAGGAUGUCGCGCAGGUUCCCCUUCGGCAUAUCCACAUCAAGACUGAAUCGUCCGAUGCUUGUCAUCCUCGUGCUUGAUGACGGCGCCGCUUGUCGUAAAAGUCGUUGUUCCCAGGGUACGACAACGGGCCGCAGAACCGUAUCGCCAUUGGUGCCGUCCACGAGAACUUCAAAUUUUGUCUUCAACGCAACCGCGCGGCCCGGAUUCUUCAAGCGGAAGUCCGGCACGGUCGCCUCGCCUUUUGCGGUGAUUGUGUCGAGUGUGCCGGAAAACGUCCCUUUGGAAUGGAGAAUCCCGGCGAUGCCACGAAACACACCAAGAUCGGCCUUGUCGAAAACGUAGUCCCCGUCGAGAGGCGUGUCCCCCGGCUCUGUCGCCGCCCACGGAC